rnacentral:rRNA from 1 species
AUAUGGUCAAGCGAGAAAGGGUCUAGGGUGAAUGCCUUGGAGCUUCUUGGCGAGGAAGGCCGUGGUAAGCUGCGAAAAGCCGUGGGGAGGAGCACACAUCCUGAGAUCCGCGGAUGGCCGAAUGGGGUAACCCGGCGGAGGAGAUCUCCGUCAGUCCUGACUGAAUAGAUAGGUCAGGGCAGCUAUACCCGGGGAACUGAACCAUCUCAGUACCCGGAGGAGAAGACAUCAAUAUGAGAUUCCCUUAGUAGCGGCGAGCGAACGGGGAGGAGCCUAAACCGAUGCCGUGCAAGGCGUGCACCGUUGCGGCGUCGGGGUUGUAGGGUCACGCGGGGAUUCGUGCAUGAGAGUCCGCGUAGUUAGAGAAAACCGGUCUUUAGUGGAACGCUACUGGGAAGGGCGACCAAAGAGGGUGAAAGUCCCGUACACGACAAAGAGCGGACUACGUUGCGUGAAGCCUGAGUACGACGGGACACGAGAAAUCCUGUCGGAAGCUGGGUCGACCACGAUCCAAGGCUAAAUACGGAGAAGCUACCGAUAGUGCAGAAGUACCGUGAGGGAACGGUGAAAAGAACCCCGGUGAGGGGAGUGAAAGAGAACCUGAAACCCUAGACCUACAAGCAGUCAGAGCGUCGCAAGGCGUGAUGGCGUGCCUUUUGUAGAAUGAGCCUGCGAGUUACGGUAUGUAGCAAGGUUAAGGGAUCGAAGUCCCGGAGCCGAAGGGAAACCGAGUCUGAAUAGGGCGCCAUAGUUGCAUGCCGUAGACCCGAAGCCGAGUGAUCUAUGCAUGGCCAGGUUGAAGCGUGGGUAACACCACGUGGAGGACCGAACACUAAUCUGUUAAAAAAGGUAGUGAUGAGCUGUGCUUAGGAGUGAAAGGCUAAACAAACUCGGAGAUAGCUGGUACUCGCCGAAAUAGCUUUAGGGCUAGCCUCAGGCGGAUUGUGACGGAGGUAAAGCACUGAAUGGACUAGGGCCCUUCACCGGGUACCAAACCCAAUCAAACUCUGAAUGCCGUCACACAAUACCUGGGAGUCAGACUACGGGUGAAAAGAUUCGUGGUCAAAAGGGAAACAGCCCAGAUCGUUAGCUAAGGUUCCUAAACCGCGCUCAGUGGAAAAAGAAGUGUGAUUACGAAGACAGCCAGGAGGUUGGCUUAGAAGCAGCCAUUCCUUCAAAGAGUGCGUAACAGCUCACUGGUCGAGUAGUCAUGCGCUGAUAAUAUUACGGGGCUAAGCGCGGUACCGAAGCUACGGGUCCUUACGUUUGGAGACAAACGUUGGGGCGGUAGGCGAGCAUUCCGUGGACCGACGAAGGUGAGCUGAGAGGCGAGCUGGAGGGGACGGAAGAGAGAAUGCAGGCAUGAGUAACGAAAAGACAGGUGAGAUCCCUGUCCGCCGAAAACCCGAGGUUUCCUGGGUAAAGGUCAUCUUCCCAGGGUAAGUCGGCCCCUAAGGCGAGGCGGAAACGCGUAGUCGAUGGGAAACGGGUUCAUAUUCCCGUACCUCUUGGAGUUUCGAAGGGACGACGCAUGAGACAAUACCCGGCCGGAGAACGGUUGUUCCGGUCUAAACGUCCGAGUCGUUGAGAGCGCCAGGCAAAUCCGGCGCUUGAGAUGAGGCGUGAAGGCGAGUGGAGCUACGGCAAAGCGAAGCGGGUGGCGUCAUGGUGCCAAGAAAAAGUCUCUAAGGUUAGGCUUCAAGGGACCGUACCGCAAACCGACACAGGUGGGUGGGAUGAAGAUUCUAAGGCGCUCGAGAGAACUCGCGUUAAGGAACUCGGCAAAAUGCACACGUAACUUCGGGAGAAGUGUGGCCUUCUGAGGGGUUAAACUUUCGGGAGGUUGCAGAGAAAUGGCCCAAGCGACUGUUUAUCAAAAACACAGGUCUCUGCGAACCAGCAAUGGGAAGUAUAGGGACUGACACCUGCCCGGUGCCGGAAGGUUAAGGGGAGUUGUGAGCGCAAGCGAAGCAGCGAACCGAAGCCCCGGUAAACGGCGGCCGUAACUAUAACGGUCCUAAGGUAGCGAAAUUCCUUGUCGGGUAAGUUCCGACCCGCACGAAUGGUGUAACGACUUGGGCGCUGUCUCAACGCGAGACUCGGU